rnacentral:rRNA from 1 species
GCUACACAUGCAGUCGAGCGGAACGACACUAACAAUCCUUCGGGUGCGUUAAUGGGCGUCGAGCGGCGGACGGGUGAGUAAUGCCUAGGAAAUUGCCUUGAUGUGGGGGAUAACCAUUGGAAACGAUGGCUAAUACCGCAUGAUGCCUACGGGCCAAAGAGGGGGACCUUCGGGCCUCUCGCGUCAAGAUAUGCCUAGGUGGGAUUAGCUAGUUGGUGAGGUAAUGGCUCACCAAGGCGACGAUCCCUAGCUGGUCUGAGAGGAUGAUCAGCCACACUGGAACUGAGACACGNUCCAGACUCCUACGGGAGGCAGCAGUGGGGAAUAUUGCACAAUGGGCGCAAGCCUGAUGCAGCCAUGCCGCGUGUAUGAAGAAGGCCUUCGGGUUGUAAAGUACUUUCAGUUGUGAGGAAGGGGGUGUUGUUAAUAGCNACAUCUCUUGACGUUAGCAACAGAAGAAGCACCGGCUAACUCCGUGCCAGCAGCCGCGGUAAUACGGAGGGUGC